GACGAACGCUGGCGGCGUGCUUAAUACAUGCAAGUCGAACGGACAGGCUAUGCUUUUGUGGGGUGCUCGAGUGGCGAACGGGUGCGUAACACGUGAGUACCCUGCCCUUGCCUUUGGGAUAACUUCAGGUAACUGGGGCUAAUACUGGCUAGGAGCUCAUGCUGUUUGGUGGGGGUUGGUAAGUUUCGGCGGUUGGGGAUGGAAUCGCGGCCUAGCAGCCCGUAGGUGGGGUAGUGGCUUACCAAGGUUUUGACGGGCCGCCGGCCUGAGAGGGUGACCGGCCACAUUGGGACUGGGGAGCGGCCCGUACGCCUACGGGAGGCAUGAGUGAGAAAUAGUGCACGAUGGGCGGAGGCCUGAAGGAGCAACGCCGCGUGCGAGAUGACUGCCUUCAGGUUGGAAACCGCUUUCGCCUGUGACGAAGCGUGAGUGACGGUAAUGGAUAAAAAAGCACCGGCUAACUACGUG
rnacentral:rRNA from 1 species